UACGUAGGGUGCAAGCGUUGUCCGGAAUUAUUGGGCGUAAAGAGCUCGUAGGCGGUUUGUUGCGUCGGCUGUGAAAACCUGAGGCUCAACCUCAGGCCUGCAGUCGAUACGAGCAGACUAGAGUGUUGCAGGGGAGACUGGAAUUCCUGGUGUAGCGGUGAAAUGUGCAGAUAUCAGGAGGAACACCGGUGGCGAAGGCGGGUCUCUGGGCCGAUACUGACGCUGAGGAGCGAAAGCGUGGGGAGCGAACAGG
rnacentral:rRNA from 1 species